ACCUCACAUUCACCCAUUCGUUGUUAUCCCCUGCCGUUAUAAUUCAUCAAAUACUCUGCAAUAAAAUUCCCAAUUAUAACAACGUCAAUUUAGGACGUCAAUCUGCACUUAUAAUCUCCAAUUAUAUUAUCCCCUUCCGUUACGACGCAUCCCCUAAUCUUCUCUACUUUCAUAGCUCCUCAAAUAUUUUUUAAGGAAAAAAAAAAUGAUUUCUUUAAAGUCCCAGUAAUGACUUUCUCAUAUGUACAUGCAACAACAUCUCUACGUAAACCCUAGACGAGAUCAUCAUCUUACCAUGUUUCAAUCGCAUCCUGUCUCAACAAUACAGGUUUCGAUUGUUGUAUUCAGAAAAUCACCAGAGUUCUAAACAUCUUAGGUUUCUUCAUUUCUUUCUUCCGCAUACUCUCUAUUAGGUGAGGUCAGUACCAUCUUUAAUUUAAUUUUUCUUUAAAUUUGUUUAAUUGGUUUCUUCAGGUGGAAUUUUGAUUCUUCCACAUCUUCAAUUGAUUAUUUAUUGAAAGCACAAAACAUCCUUAAGAUGAUAACCAGUGGUUUCAAAUAUCCAAAUGGUAGAAGCUUAUUGAGCAGAUGAUGGUGUUGGAACAAUUUUUGGAUCUAAGAAUGGCCGUGCAAUAUAAGUCACUUGGAUUCAAUGUGGUUUUGAGGUUAGUUCAGACAGAUCUCACAAAAAUAUAUUCAGUUGACCAAAUUUGAAGUUUGUUGUUAUGGAUGUUUUAAUUUUUGUUUAGUUAUUAGCGUUUCAUUUAAAAAGAAUUUGGGUAUCUAACAUGCCAAUUGGCCCCUAACAACGCAGCUUCCUAUGAUAGAGGCACCAAACUAAAGAUUUCCCUCUGGGGUUCUUGAGUACACAGGAAAUCCAUGAAUGCAUGAACUCACCAUUAAGAAUGUUUGAAUUUCUCUGAUCCAAUUAUUCAGGACUCCAUCCAAGGUCCUUCAGUGAUUGUUUUUACUCCAUUUUGGUGAACAAUUAUUAAGGAGUUCGAGACACCAGGUAGGGAAUGAUCGGAUUAGUCGCAGGUCCUUCAGUGAUUGUUUUUUACUCCAUUUCUAUGAAUUAUUGUUAACGCCUUAUUAUAUUUCUGUUAUUUUUUGUGCAUAGAUGUUUCUGAUUAUUUAAUACUUUGCACUUUCUCAAAACCAUUGUGGUGCACUACACAGAAAAAAUCACCCUCUCCUCGACAAACGUCAAUAGAGUGUACACCAACAUUGACCUACCUGAAGAGCUCAAAUGGAAGAAAGUGUACAAGCUGCUAAUGUCGUUGUAUGUAAAGCCAGACCUGCACAUUGACAAAUUCACGACUAAUUAACCAACUGACCAUUGCCAGGUACUCACUGAAAUUACUUAUUGAAAAUGGUUGGUAUUAUCUUGCUUUGCUAUGGGUAUAACAAGGAAGUUGUCCGAGGAUGCUGACCAUUGAUGCAUAAAAUGUGAGAUCAAAGUCGACCUUCCCAUAGCUUGGUUUGUGAUCUUUGCUUAGCACCGUGAUAUUGAACAAUCUUUUUUUUUCUGGUGUCUACCCAUUUCCUACAUCCACGUUGAAGUUGAUGAUGCAACCAUACUUCCAUUUUUGUGGCUUUGGAUAGUGAGAGGAAUCAGUAAAGACAGACGUGCUUCCGGGGUUCUCACCAAUUUUUCACCAAGCAGUGGAUUUUCAAGGUUCUCAACGACUAAGGAUUUUUGUUGGUUACUUGCAGACCAUGAUCUUCUGCAAUUCUUAAAUAUGUUUUAUGAAGCUACUGGAGUAGGUGUUGUGAUGGAUAUAGAGGAGGCGGUGGUGAUGGAGAUGAGGAGGUGAGGUGGUUGUGCUUGACAACAACAAAAACUAUCAAUAAAUUCCUUCUGGAGAGCAACCACAGGGUCUCUUUACCUGGAAACAUGAAUUGGAUGCGUAUGAAGCUAUAAAAUGGGCAAGAAGUUCCAAUAUUCAGCAUUUGCACUUAGAGGGUGGUUCUCUUCAUGUGGUGAAGACAAUAAAAGGUGUAAUAGGCAUUGUAGGAUGGACUAACAAUGCCAUCAAUUUAGUCUCAACUCAUCUGCCAAGGGAUAUUGAUUCUGUGGCAAACACUCUGGCCAAAGAUGGUAGAUCAUUAGUAGUGAUGAAAUUAUGGGGAAUUGAGUUGCCUAUAUGGCUAAAUGAUAUCAUAAAUGAGAGACUUUAUAUUCCAACUUUCUUUCCUACUAAAAAAGAAAAAGAAAAAAAAAACGUGGAAACAUGAAUUGUGAGUUUUCUGGGUUAGCCUAAACGAUUUUGCACUCUUAACCUUC